AUUGAACGCUGGCGGCAGGCCUAACACAUGCAAGUCGAGCGGUAGAGAGGAGCUUGCUUCUCUUGAGAGCGGCGGACGGGUGAGUAGUGCCUAGGAAUCUGCCUGGUAGUGGGGGAUAACGUUCGGAAACGGACGCUAAUACCGCAUACUGCCUACGGGGGAAAGGGGGGGAUCUUCGGACCUCACGCUGUCAGAUGAGCCUAGGUCGGAUUAGCUAGUUGGUGAGCUAAAGGCUCACCAAGGCGACGAUCCGUAACUGGUCUGAGAGGAUGAUCAGUCACACUGGAAAUGAGACACGGUCCAGACUCCUACGGGAGGCAGCAGUGGGGAAUAUUGGACAAUGGGCGCAAGCCUGAUCCAGCCAUGCCGCGUGUGUGAAGAAGGUCUUCGGAUUGUAAAGCACUUUAAGUUGGGAGGAAGGUCAGUAGCUUAAUACGUUGCUGAUUUGACGUUACCGACAGAAUAAGCACCGGCUAACUCUGUGCCAGCCGCCGCUGUAAAAC
rnacentral:rRNA from 1 species